rnacentral:miRNA from 1 species
CCCGGCGCAGCCCCGAGGGAGGAGGGCGUGCUGCAGUCCCGGCGGCGGCGGCGGCGGCGGCGGCGGCAGCGGCGGCUGGAGGUGC